rnacentral:rRNA from 1 species
CAAGUCGAACGAGAAGCGCCGGAAGGAGGAUUUCGGGUCAACGGAAGGCGUGGAAAGUGGCGGACGGGUGAGUAACGCGUGAGGGAACCCUGGCCUUGGGAAGGGGGACAACAGCCGGAAACGGCUGCUAAUACCGCAUGAUGCACGAGGGGACAUCCCCAUCGUGCCAAAGAUUUAUCGCUCUGAGAUGGCCUCGCGUCUGAUUAGCUUGUUGCGGGGUAACGGGCCCACCCAAGGCGACGAUCAGUAGCCGGACUGAGAGGUUGAACGGCCACAUUGGGACUGAGAUACGGCCCAGACUCCUACGGGAGGCAGCAGUGGGGAAUAUUGGGCAAUGGGCGCAAGCCUGACCCAGCAACGCCGCGUGAAGGAAGAAGGCUUUCGGGUUGUAAACUUCUUUUGAGAGGGAAGAGCAGAAGACGGUACCUCUUGAAUAAGCCACGGCUAACUACGUGCC